rnacentral:rRNA from 1 species
UACGUAGGGGGCAAGCGUUAUCCGGAUUUACUGGGUGUAAAGGGAGCGUAGACGGCGAAGAAUGUCUGAAGUGAAAGCCCGCGGCUCAACCGCGGAACUGCUUUGGAAACUUUUUUGCUGGAGUACCGGAGAGGUAAGCGGAAUUCCUAGUGUAGCGGUGAAAUGCGUAGAUAUUAGGAGGAACGCCAGUGGCGAAGGCGGCUUACUGGACGGUAACUGACGUUGAGGCUCGAAAGCGUGGGGAGCAAACAGG